GACGGAGGAUGCAAGCGUUAUCCGGAAUGAUUGGGCGUAAAGCGUCCGCAGGUGGCAGUUCAAGUCUGCUGUCAAAGACCGGGGCUUAACUUCGGAAAGGCAGUGGAAACUGAACAGCUAGAGUAUGGUAGGGGCAGAGGGAAUUCCUGGUGUAGCGGUGAAAUGCGUAGAUAUCGGGAGGAACACCUGCGGCGAAGGCGGGUUGCUGGGCCGACACUGACGCUGAUGCGCGAAAGCCAGGGGAGCGAACGGG
rnacentral:rRNA from 1 species